rnacentral:lncRNA from 12 species
AUGCCUUGUCCCCUCGCGCGGCCUGCUUUUGUCAGGGCGCAGAUUUCGGGGAGCAGAGGGCUUGUUUCGGGGUCUCACCAGCGGCCCCCCCCCCAGCCGUGCUGGGCACCCCGCUCACUCCUGCGGUGCUCGGGUGGUAGCGACAUCACAAAGGCCGCAGGAGGCACAGGCCUGGGGCCCAGAAUGGUGGACCCGGGGGGCCGUGGGGGUGCGAGGUGGGAGACUGGCCCCCACGGCCUGUGCACGUCGGGCGGGGGGGGGCUCACAGGAGCCUGCGGGCGGCAGCCAGAGCUGUUCUCCCGUGGUGCCUUCUGCCCGCGCCCCUCAAGGCCUCGCCUUGCACCUGGCACUGGGCCGCGACCCCAACCCCGGCAGGCGCGAGAGCCUCGGCAUGCACUGGCCCCUCGUGCUUCUCUCCAUCCAGCGACCAGCCCCGCACCCUGCAGGCCCCGGUGGGGAACGCGGCGCAGUGCACACGGGCCUGCGCUCUCCAGAGCGUGCGGCCCACCAAGUGCCCGCGUCCCUGCUGACCCUGCGCUCAGACAUGCUCGUGACCCUGGUCUCCCCGCAGCCUCGGGCUCGGGGCCCAGCGUGGGCUGUUGGAGAAGCCUGCUCCGGGGUCUCCCCCACCCCACCUGCUGGGGCCCUGGCGCCUCCUGCGCCCUCCACCCCCCUGCUCGGCCUCCCGGCCCCCAUCUGCUCGGCCCUGCCAGCACCUGUUCAACUUCCCACAGCUUCUCCCCCGAGACGUCAGCCUGUCCCCCACGCCCCAUCACACUGGCGUCUGGUCCCUUCCCACCUGCCCAGUCUGAGCCCGUGUCCCCACAGCCGCCACCGACCUUGCCACCGAGACCCCGAGGGCGGCUUUGUGCCCCCCCAGGCCGCCUGCUGUCCCCGCCUGGGGGCCGCCCUCAGGGUCUCCUCCCACCUGGCCUCUGCCUGCCGCCCAGCAUCUGUCCAUCCUCCUGCACAGUCCAGGCUGUCUGUCCUUCCCCCGCCGCCUCCCAGUGUUGCUGUGCGUCCCCACGUCCCUGUGGACCAGCUUGA